GAUGAACGCUGGCGGCGUGCCUAAUACAUGCAAGUCGAGCGAACAGACGAGGAGCUUGCUCCUCUGACGUUAGCGGCGGACGGGUGAGUAACACGUGGAUAACCUACCUAUAAGACUGGGAUAACUUCGGGAAACCGGAGCUAAUACCGGAUAAUAUAUUGAACCGCAUGGUUCAAUAGUGAAAGACGGUUUUGCUGUCACUUAUAGAUGGAUCCGCGCCGCAUUAGCUAGUUGGUAAGGUAACGGCUUACCAAGGCGACGAUGCGUAGCCGACCUGAGAGGGUGAGCGCCCACACUGGAACUGAGACCCGGUCCAGCCCCCGACGGGGGGAAGAAGAAGGGAUUCUUCCGGAAUGGGCGAAAGCCGGACGGAGCAACGCCGAGUGAGUGAGGAAGGUCUUCGGAUCAAAAAACUCUGUUAUGAGGGAAAAAAAAAUGUGAAAGUAAAUAGGCACGUUUUGAGGGACCCUAAGCAGAAAGCCAGGCCAAACUCCGUC
rnacentral:rRNA from 1 species